rnacentral:misc_RNA from 1 species
GUACUCUCACACUCUCUGGUCCUUUGGAUUCGGGGAGCGGUGGACUUGGGUGUUUGCUGCUCUCUUCCUUGCGGCUCACCUCAAAUUCGUUAGUGCACCUCCUGGUUGGACAUAGUACGGCGUGAUAAGUGUCUUCGCCGGCGCCUCGCAAGAGGGUGGCCGAUCGAGAGCUCUGUGCUUUCAAACCGUCUUCGGACAAUAUCUGACA